GAAAUGCGAUAAUUAAUGUGAAUUGCAGAAUUCAGUGAAUCAUCGAGUCUUUGAACGCACAUUGCGCCCCCUGGUAUUCCGGGGGGCAUGCCUGUCCGAGCGUCAUUGCUGCCCUCAAGCACGGCUUGUGUGUUGGGCUCCCGUCCCUGGCAACGGGGACGGGCCCAAAAGGCAGUGGCGGCACCAUGUCUGGUCCUCGAGCGUAUGGGGCUUUGUCACCCGCUCCCGUAGGUCCAGCUGGCAGCUAGCCUCGCAACCAAUCUUUUUAACCAGGUUGACCUCGGAUCAGGUAGGGAUACCCGCUGAACUUAAGC
rnacentral:misc_RNA from 1 species